rnacentral:rRNA from 1 species
AUUGAACGCUGGCGGCAUGCCUUACACAUGCAAGUCGAACGGCAGCACGGGAGCAAUCCUGGUGGCGAGUGGCGAACGGGUGAGUAAUGUAUCGGAACGUGCCCAGUCGUGGGGGAUAACGUAGCGAAAGCUACGCUAAUACCGCAUACGAUCUAUGGAUGAAAGCGGGGGAUCGCAAGACCUCGCGCGGUUGGAGCGGCCGAUAUCAGAUUAGGUAGUUGGUGGGGUAAAGGCCCACCAAGCCUGCGAUCCGUAGCUGGUCUGAGAGGACGACCAGCCACACUGGAACUGAGACAUGGUCCAGACUCCUACGGGAGGCAGCAGUGGGGAAUUUUGGACAAUGGGCGCAAGCCUGAUCCAGCAAUGCCGCGUGCAGGAUGAAGGCCUUCGGGUUGUAAACUGCUUUUGUACGGAACGAAACGGCUUUUUCUAAUACAGAGAGCUAAUGACGGUACCGUAAGAAUAAGCACCGGCUAACUACGUGCCAGCAGCCGCCGUAA